rnacentral:lncRNA from 10 species
GCCUGGGCGACAGAGUGAGACUCCAUCUCAAAGAAAAAAAAAAAAAAAGAACAAAGAGGAGUCCAGGCGAAGAGAACAGCAGAUGCAAAGGCCCUGAGGCAGAAACAAUCUUGGUAUGCUGGAGGAAUAGGAAGGCAGCCAGUGCAGCUGGAGCAGGAUAGGUUAAGAGAGGAUCAAAGUGAUGAGGGCCUGGAAAGAGGGGCUGGGGUCGAAUCAACAGAUCCUGUUGGUUGCAAUGGAAGAGCCUGGAGUUUAUUCUCAGAGCAGUGAGAAGCCACUGGAAAGUUGUUUUUUGUUUUUCUGUUUUUGAGACAGAGUCUAGCUCUGUCACCCAGGCAGACUGCAGUGGUGCAAUCUCGGCUCACUGUAACCUCUGCCUCCCAGGUUCAAGCGAUUCUCCUGCCUCAGGCUCCCCAGUAGCUGGGAUUACGGGCACAUGCCACCACACCCAUCUAAUUUUUUUUUUUUUUUUUUUUUUUG